UACGGGGGGAGCAAGCGUUGUUCGGAUUUACUGGGCGUAAAGGGCGCGUAGGCGGUCAGCACAAGUCAGUUGUGAAAUCUCCGGGCUUAACCCGGAAAGGUCAACUGAUACUGUGCGACUAGAGUGCGGAAGGGGCAACUGGAAUUCUCGGUGUAGCGGUGAAAUGCGUAGAUAUCGAGAGGAACACCUGCGGCGAAGGCGGGUUGCUGGGCUGACACUGACGCUGAAGCGCGAAAGCUAGGGGAGCGAACGGG
rnacentral:rRNA from 1 species